rnacentral:other from 1 species
ACAUCCCUGCGGUGUUCGCUACGGUCAUAUAUUCCUUGAACCAAUGCGAUGCAUCAGGCAGAGAGUCCCGCGUUACUGUUGUGAUCGUCCCUCGUCGGAUGAACCUGAUGUAACAACACUUUCUGCCGACCUGAACUGAAUCACGGUUCAGGAUGCUGGCCGACCGGCACAGGCGGGGUACCU